CCCUUAGAUGCUCUGGGCCGCACGCGCGCUACACUGGUCGAUGCAACGAGUUUCUUUCCUUGGCCGACAGGCCUGGGCAAUCUUUGAACAUCGAUCGUGAUCGGGAUAGAUUCUUGUAAUUUUUGAUCUUAAACGAGGAAUUCCUAGUAAACGCAAGUCAUCAGCUUGCAUUGAUUACGUCCCUGCCCUUUGUACACACCGCCCGUCGCACCUACCGAUUGAAUGGUCCGGUGAAGCGUUUGGACUAUGGUUUUCUGAUGGUCCGCCGUUGGAUUACCGUGGGAAGUUCGUUAAACCUUAUCAUUUAGAGGAAGGAGAAGUCGUAACA
rnacentral:rRNA from 1 species